AUUGAACGCUGGCGGCAUGCUUUACACAUGCAAGUCGAACGGUAACAGGUCUUCGGAUGCUGACGAGUGGCGAACGGGUGAGUAAUACAUCGGAACGUGCCUAGUAGUGGGGGAUAACUACUCGAAAGAGUAGCUAAUACCGCAUGAGAUCUACGGAUGAAAGCAGGGGACCUUCGGGCCUUGUGCUACUAGAGCGGCUGAUGGCAGAUUAGGUAGUUGGUGGGGUAAAGGCUUACCAAGCCUGCGAUCUGUAGCUGGUCUGAGAGGACGACCAGCCACACUGGGACUGAGACACGGCCCAGACUCCUACGGGAGGCAGCAGUGGGGAAUUUUGGACAAUGGGCGAAAGCCUGAUCCAGCAAUGCCGCGUGCAGGAUGAAGGCCCUCGGGUUGUAAAAUGCUUUUGUACGGAACGAAAAGCCUGGGGCUAAUAUCCCCGGGUCAUGACGGUACCGUAAGAAUAAGCACCGGCUAACUACGUG
rnacentral:rRNA from 1 species